GAUGAACGCUGGCGGCGUGCCUAAUACAUGCAAGUCGAGCGAACAGACGAGGAGCUUGCUCCUCUGACGUUAGCGGCGGACGGGUGAGUAACACGUGGAUAACCUACCUAUAAGACUGGGAUAACUUCGGGAAACCGGAGCUAAUACCGGAUAAUAUAUUGAACCGCAUGGUUCAAUAGUGAAAGACGGUUUUGCUGUCACUUAUAGAUGGAUCCGCGCCGCAUUAGCUAGUUGGUAAGGUAACGGCUUACCAAGGCAACGAUGCGUAGCCGACCUGAGAGGGUGAUCGGCCACACUGGAACUGAGACACGGUCCAGACUCCCACGGGAGGCGGCAGUAGGGAAUCUUCCGCAAUGGGCGAAAGCCUGACGGAGCAACGCCGCGUGAGUGAUGAAGGUCUUCGGAUCGUAAAACUCUGUUAUUAGGGAAGAACAAAUGUGUAAGUAACUAUGCACGUCUUGACGGUACCUAAUCAGAAAGCCACGGCUAACUACGUG
rnacentral:rRNA from 1 species